UGCUUUUCCGCGUCACAGAGAAUUGAAAACCUCAGCACGGGAUUGGAGAGAUGGCUCGGUGUUUUAGAACAUGGACUGCUCUUACAGAGGACCUGGAUUCUAUUUCCAGGACCCACGAGGCAACUCACAACUACCGAAGGGGAAUUGGAGCAGCGGCAUGGCACAUCAGAUAAGGCGUGUGUGCUGACAAGCCUGAUAGCCUGAACUCAGUGCUCGAGAUCUACAUGAGAAGGAAAAAACUGACUCCUGCAAGUCAUCCUCCGAUCUCCGAGUGUGCCCCCGAGUGGCACGUACCCCCACCCACACAGAGUAAAUAAAUAAGAAUAAAAGAGAGGGAUUGGGGAUUUAGCUCGCUCAGUGGUAGAGCACUUGCCUAGCAAGCGCAAGGCCCUGGGUUCGUCCCCAGCUCCGAAAAAAAAGAAAAAAAAAAAAAAAGAGCAACGAGGUCCUGAUUAUUAUUGCAUACAAAUAAAUUUCAAUUAGGCUAC
rnacentral:lncRNA from 1 species